CCCGCCGUCCGAGCCACUCAGAGCGCGCGGCGGCAGACACCCGGGGCCUGCAAUUAAUACCCGGCGCCCGCCCUCCCCGGGACUCGCGCGCCGGCUCUCGGGGAAGGCGCGCCCGCUCCGCCACCAGCUCUGCUCCGGCAGCUCGGCGACUGGGGGCCGAGCCGACGACACGCCGGGCCCCCACCCGAAAGCCGGCCUGAGAGAGGGACGGUGCCUGCCCGCCGAGGUCCCGCGCGAGGGUGCGCUCCGGCCCGCGCCGUCGCGGCCGCGGGAACGGCAGGUGGGCUCGGCGGGAGCGCGCGGGAAGGUGCCCACGGAGUCCUUCGCAUGCACCGGGCUCUUCGCAGUUCUGAACUGUUCUCGACUGAGACCCUAAGAUCCAGGAUUCUAUCUACACUGGAGAUCGCUUGUUUCCCAUGAAGACGUGGUGAAUUCUCUUUUGAGUUUCGACUAACAGAAUAAAAGCAGGUGGCUUGCCGGGUACCGGAGCCAUCACAGGAGAACGAGCUGCCUGUCUGCCCUCUGAUACCCGUGUGUCCUCCAGCACCUGCCUGCUGAGCGCGGGGCUCAAGCCUCUGAAACGCUGAAGACGCACAGGAAGAGUCCUGCUUGUGAAAACCCACAGCCCAGUCCUAGAGGAAAGCAUCCAGAUGUGAAAUACAGGUUUCUCUUGACUGAAAGAGAGCGUUUGGGUGGAUGACCUCGAGCACUCGGAAAGCCGAGCCGUUUGUGGCUGUGGAGCCAUCCCACAUCUUAAGCCAUGGUCUGAAUCUCAGCAUUAAGAUGAGUUCUUUGAAGAAAUUGGCAAGCUGAUCCUAAAAUUGUAUGGAAAAUCAAGGGACCCAUAAUAGCCACAGCCUUGAAAAAGAAGAAAAAAAUAGGAAGACUCAACUUCCUGACUUCAAAACUUACUAUGAGACUGUUAAAUACAACUGAAACCAAGACAGUGUUCUAAUGGCAUAUAGGGGGAAUAGAAUUGAGAAUCUAGAAAUAAGCUCAUACAUUUAUGGUCAAUUGAUUUUUAGCAAAUGUGCCAAAAUAAUUCAAUGAGAAAAGAAUAGUCUCUUCAAUAGAUCACACUGGGGCAACUGGAUAUGCAUGUACAAAAGAAUGAAGCUGGACUCCUACCUUACACUAUGUAUAAAAAUUAACUAAAAAUGGAUUGGAAGCUUAAAUGUAAGAGCUAUGACUUUGAAACUCUUAGAAAAAAACCAUGGACAUAAAAUGACCUUGGAUUCGACAUGCUUUUUUAGAUAUGACACCCAAAAGUGACAACAGAAAAAUAGUCAAAUUGAACUCCAUUAAACUUAAAAAUGUUUGUGCAUCAAAGGACACUAUCAAGAAAGUAAAAAGACAAUCCACAGAAAGGAAGAAAAUAAUUGCAAAUCAUAUGUGUUAAGGGUCUGUAUCUGGAAUAUAUUAAUAUAAAGAACUCUUAUGACUCAGUAAUAAAAAAGAUAACUCUAUUAAAAAUUGGCAAAGCAUCUGAAUAGACAUUUCUCAGAAGAAGAUAUGCUAAUGGCCAAUAGGCACACAAUACAAUUUUUGACACUGUUGUCAACAGCAUAAUGCAAAUUGGCACCUCAGUGAGAAACCACUUCAUAUCCACAAUGAAAGACAAACAAUGACCAGUGUUGGUGAGGAUGUGAAGAAAUUGGAACUCUCAGGAUUUCAAAGCAUCUGCUUUGAAAAACAGUCUGGCAGUUCCUCAAACAAUUAAACAUACAGUUAUCUUUUAUAACCCAGUAUGUCCACUCCUAGGUAUAUAUGCAAGAGAAAUGGAAACAUGUCUACACAAAAACACUAAUGUUUAUAGCAGCAUUAUUCAUAAUACCCAAAGAAUGGAAAUGACCCAAAUGUUUGUCAGCUGAUGAAUGGAUUAUUUUACAAUGUGAUGUGUCCACACAGCAAAAUGUUAUUUGGCUACAAAAAGGAAUGGAGCACUGAUAUGUGCUGAAACAUGGAUGAGCCUUACAAAUACGCUACAUGAAAGAAGCCAGACACCAGAGAACAUGUAUCCUGUGAUUCUUGUUCUAUGAAAUUUCCAGAACAGGCAAAUCUAUAGAGACAGAAAGUAGAAUGGUGGUUGCUUUCGACUGGGGGUGCUCAGGGCUAAAUUAGGAGUAACUGCUAAUGGGUCUGUAGUUUCUUUUUGGGGUGAUGAAAAUGUCUAAAAUUAAUUUGAUAAUGAAGGUACAACUUUGUGGAUAUCCUACAAACCAUUGAAUUACACACUUUAAAUCGGUGAAUUGUAUGGAAUGUGAAUCAUAUGAAUAAAGCUGUUGUGUGUGUCUGUGUAUAUAUAUGGAUGUAUCUUGGAGAUUGAACUGUCAGCACUUGGUGACAGAUGGGAUUUAGGUAGGCAAGGAAGGAAUUAAGGAUGACUCUCAAAUUUUGGCCUUGGGCAGCUUCCGAGAAGGAGAGAAAAACUGAGGGAGGAGGAUUUUGUUUUCCUUUGUUUUAUGAGGAGGGCCAACUUUGAGGAUCAGGUGUUCUGUUGUAGGCGUAUUGAGUUUGAGGGGUAGUGAUAUUAGGCAGGCGACUGAAUAUGAUUUUGGAGUUCCGAGGAGCAAUGGGACUGCAGAUAAGAUUUAAAUGGUGGGAAAGUCCCCAGGAAGGGAUGACAGCAGAGAGGUGGGGGAGGGUUGGUCGCUCAGGAGGGUUGGAGGAGAGAAGGAGCCCCGUGGCCAGGCAGGGAGUAAGGAAAAGGGGGAGUGUGCGAGGGGGUGCUGAACUUAGGUGAUUUAAGAGGAGGGAGGUGUCCACGGAGUCAGGCACUGGGGGCGUCAGUAAGGGAGCGACAGAGGCCUCUGUGGGAACUGCUGAGACGGACAUUGUCCGUGACCUUGCCAAGAGUAGUUCCGAGUGGAGACUCCAGAUCAGAGUGGAUUGAACAGAGAAUGCGAAGUGCUGAAGUGGAAAGAGCUAGGCAACUGUUUCUAGAAGUUUUGCUGUAACCAGACUCUGGUGAAAAUUACUUUAGGAUCUUUCCCUGCUCUGCUGAGACACCUGACAGAGGGCUGGCUGGCUUUGAAGGUAGUGUCUUCCCUUGGAGGCAGUCCUUCUGGGUUCGAGCCAUGAUCUCGGGAGCUGCACGCUGUGAGCAGGGUGGGCUGGGAGAGCAGUGCUGGACUGGGAGAGGAGUGCAAUCUUCGCUUUGGUUUUGAUAUUUUGAUUGGGAGAUAAUUGAAAGAAGGCGUUUACUAAUGUGUUUUUCAAAGUCUAGGUGGAAUUGUUUAAAUAUCUCCGUUUGAAAUCAGAAGAAAAACAAAAGCCACUCCACGCUCUCAGAUGCAGUGAGGUCUUUGCGAAGUGAGUGCUGAGUGCACUCGCACCACGCGUUGCCUGUCGUGGGGUGGCAGUGGAACCGGUGUUUGGACCCCUGAGGUUGUACCGGCGCCUGGAGUGAGCUGGCGGGAAAAGCGGUGACGCCCUCACAAGGCCCGUGCAAAUGCUUUUCGGGACCCUCACAAGUGCGCUGCCCAUGGAGCUUACCGUCUGCAUUAGACUGUUCUUCCCCAUGCUUCUUUACUAUAAUUUAGGUUAUAUGAAAACAAUAAUCUGAUUUCCAAUACCAGAUGUUCCUUCAAGUAACAACCCCAUCUUUCCCUUCUCUUGAGAAAAUAUUACUUAGGCCAUAAAGCCCAUUUGAAAUGUUUUUAGCAAACAUCAUUGUCUAAGUCCAUUUUGUGCUGCCAUAACAGAAUGCCACAGGCUGGGUA